rnacentral:rRNA from 1 species
AAAUUGAAGAGUUUGAUCAUGGCUCAGAUUGAACGCUGGCGGCAGGCCUAACACAUGCAAGUCGAGCGGUAGCACAGAGAGCUUGCUCUCGGGUGACGAGCGGCGGACGGGUGAGUAAUGUCUGGGAAACUGCCUGAUGGAGGGGGAUAACUACUGGAAACGGUAGCUAAUACCGC